rnacentral:other from 1 species
AAAUGAAAGUAAAGCUAUCUUCGGUGUAAUUUGGUGAAUUUUACACAUGGCUUGUAUUCAAGCCAAUAGGAGGAUUUUUUUUAUGAAAAACGGUAAGGUAAAAUGGUUUAACUCAGAAAAAGGUUUUGGAUUCAUCGAAGGAGAAGACGGAAACGAUGUAUUCGUUCAUUACUCUGCAAUCCAAACUGAAGGUUUUAAAACUUUAGAAGAAGGUCAAGAAGUUUCUUUCGAUGUUGUAGAAGGAGCUCGUGGACCUCAAGCUGCUAACGUAGUGAAGAAAUAAUUUCUAAUAUGACGAUAACAGUCCGGUAUUUUUGCCGGACUGUUUUU